rnacentral:rRNA from 1 species
UACGGGGGAUGCAAGCGUUAUCCGGAAUCAUUGGGCGUAAAGCGCCUGUAGGUUGUUUACUAAGUCUGUUGUUAAAGCCUAGGGCUUAACCCUAGAAAAGCAAUGGAAACUUGUAGACUAGAGUAUGGCAGGGGUAGAGGGAAUUUCUAGUGUAGCGGUGAAAUGCGUAGAUAUUAGAAAGAACACCGGUGGCGAAAGCGCUCUACUGGACCAUUACUGACACUCAGAGGCGAAAGCUAGGGUAGCAAAAGGGAUUAGAUACCCCUGUAGUCCUAGCCGUAAACGAUGGAUACUAGAUGUUGUGUAUAACAGUAUCGUAGCUAACGCGUUAAGUAUCCCGCCUGGGGAGUACGCUCGCAAGGGUG